rnacentral:rRNA from 1 species
AGUGAACGCUGGCGGUAGGCCUAACACAUGCAAGUCGAACGGCAGCACAGUAAGAGCUUGCUCUUACGGGUGGCGAGUGGCGGACGGGUGAGGAAUACAUCGGAAUCUACUUUUUCGUGGGGGAUAACGUAGAGAAACUUACGCUAAUACCGCAUACGACCUACGGGUGAAAGCAGGGGAUCUUCGGACCUUGCGCGAUUGAAUGAGCCGAUGUCGGAUUAGCUAGUUGGCGGGGUAAAGGCCCACCAAGGCGACGAUCCGUAGCUGGUCUGAGAGGAUGAUCAGCCACACUGGAACUGAGACACGGUCCAGACUCCUACGGGAGGCAGCAGUGGGGAAUAUUGGACAAAGGGCGCAAGCCUGAUCCAGCCAUACCGCGUGGGUGAAGAAGGCCUUCGGGUUGUAAAGCCCUUUUGUCGGGAAAGAAAAGCAGCAGGUUAAUACCCCGCUGUUCUGACGGUACCCAAAGAAUAAGCACCGGCUAACUUCGUG